AAAUUGAAGAGUUUGAUCAUGGCUCAGAUUGAACGCUGGCGGCAGGCCUAACACAUGCAAGUCGAACGGUAACAGGAAGCAGCUUGCUGCUUCGCUGACAAGUGGCGGACGGGUGAGUAAUGUCUGGGAAACUGCCUGAUGGAGGGGGAUAACUACUGGAAACGGUGGCUAAUACCGCAUGACGUCGCAAGACCAAAGAGGGGGACCUUCGGGCCUCUUGCCAUCAGAUGUGCCCAGAUGGGAUUAGCUUGUUGGUGAGGUAACGGCUCACCAAGGCGACGAUCCCUAGCUGGUCUGAGAGGAUGACCAGCCACACUGGAACUGAGACACGGUCCAGACUCCUACGGGAGGCAGCAGUGGGGAAUAUUGCACAAUGGG
rnacentral:rRNA from 1 species